GCGGAGGAGCCGCCGCCUCCGCCCGCCGCGGCGUGGGUCCUGCAAUCCUGCCCCGCCCAGUCCGCCCUGCAGAGAAUCUGCGCCGCGCCCCUACGCCCCUGGGAGCCCUUCCGGGACUGCGGCGAAGGACGGGCGGGGCCCGUCGCUGCAGUCAGGCUGGGGAUGCUGUUGCCCUGGCCGGAAAGACGCCCUGUCCCUUUCGGGUGAUCUCACCGGAAUGUUGGCUCUUCCUCUCCACUCUCUCAGGAGGAGGCUUGGCUCUGGGAGACCCGAGUCUGCCUGUUCUGUUGGGGGCUGGGGCUAAGAAAAUCAGAUGAUUUGAGGCUCCGUGCUUGAGGAGGUGGUAGGAAAAAAAAAAAAAAGAUAAAAAAAAAAACACCCAAAAACCAAAUCCUGAUUAGGAAAAAGAAAAAGAUUGGUUUGUGGCAUAAGGCUUUUAUUUCAGGAUUUGGAGAAUUCUUCAGCAAUUUUUCUUCCUGUUGUCAGUAGGAUAGGGUGCAUUCGUCCUAGUUGGUAAAAAAGACAUUAGGGUUUCUUUCCCCACAAUUAAUUGAACUUUCUCCUGUGUAGCUGACACUGUGUGCUACCUCUCUGGGCUUUUAAUCUUUGCACUAAUUUUACAAGGUAGAGAUUGCCUUCCCCAUUUUACAAAUGAGCACCCUGAUGACAUAGAGGCUGGCUCUCUCCCCUGGUCGGGCACGAAGCAGUCAGAAAAGCUAAAAUUUGAACAUAAGCAGUUGUGCAGGUGGGUGCUGGACUUUUGAGAUGAGGACAAAAACAAGAUUUCUGCAAUCUCUGUUCUACACAGCCCCCUUUCAGGGCCUGGCUCUAAACUCUGCAGCCAGGCUCCCCUUCUGCAAAAGCUCUCUCCCUUCCUCCGCUUGGGUGACAGCUGUGUGGCAACCAUGGAGUAGCACCCAGCUCACGCCUCUGUAGUCAGGCCGACUGGGAGUUCUGCAGCUCCCCCAGGCACCAGCCUCCUGGUUACCAAGCUGGCCCUCCUCGCUAAAUAAUUACAAAGACACUGGGCAUGGCUCCAGAACUUGGGUGAGGCGCAGUCCUGAGCUUCCUGUUCCUCUGCAGUUUGGCUUCUCCUGAGCCUAGGAUCGCCAUUAUGACUUCUAAGCUGCCCUGGCUGUAUGCAUGAUAGUGAAGAAAAAUUCCUAGUCCCUUUCCUUGGAGUGGAGAGACAGAAAAAGAGCGGCCACAUCCCAUAAGCAGCUUCACAAAUCUUGAGGAAAGGAGGCAUUUCCUGCAAUCUUCAUUACAGAGAAAACAGGGAGACAAGAAGCUGACAAGAUGGAUGUAAUGACAUGCUGCAGUAGAGCUGGCAAGCCAGUCGCACACGUCUUCCAAACACAGUGACUGGGUGAAACUUGAGGGCACUGUGCUAUGUGAAAUAAGCCAGACACAGAAGGACCAAUAUUAUAUGAUUCUGCUUACCUCACAACCCUGCAACUGCCAGAUCGGAGAGAGAACGUAGGAUACUGAUGGCCAGGGACUGAGGGGAGACAGAAUUGGGGGGAAAGACCAUUGCUUCAUGGGACCAGUUUCCACCUAGGAUGAGAAAGUUCUGGCAAUCUGGGCUGGGCACUUGUGAACAUAUUCUACCAGCUGGGCUACAUAAUUAAUUUUUUUUUUAUCACAUUUAUUCAUGUGUUCUCUAGCACACGUAUGGAAGUCAGAGGACAACUUGAUGGAGUUGGUUCUUCUUCCACCAUGAGGACCCCAGGAUCAAAUCAGGGCAUCAACCUUGGUGGCAUGUACCUCUCUACCUGCUGAGCCAUCCUGGAGUACUGGGGCCAAUGGGAAGCCCCCAGAGCCAUCCCAUUCUUCUGUAUGAUGGAUGUGCAGAGGUUGCAGCCUACUGGAACUUUCAGCAUCAUCAAAUCUGCACUAAGAUAUAGGACAACGAAUGACAUGAUAAAAAUUUGGGCACUCAGCUCAAGAAAUGAGGUCAAGCUGCAAUGAAAGCAGGCAGAUGAGUGAGAAUCUGAGCUGAAAAGGGAAUGUAACUUGUAGCAUUCUGUGGCAAAGAAUCUGAUGUGCCUGUAUGGAGCUACAUGCGUCAGCUGGCAGUCAUGGUUGCUGAGGCAACACUAUCAGUGGGUAUCAAAAACCCAGCCUUCCAAUGGUCUUCUUUGUUCACAUUUGAGACUCCAUUAGGAUAACUAGCAUCGAAUGACAAAUGCCAAGACUGCUCAUGACAUCCAAAGGAAGAAUAUUAAAUUGCUAUAAAAGGUAUUCUCAGGAAUGGAGAGAUGGCUCAGAGGUUAAGAGCAGUAACUGUUCUUCCAGAGGUCCUGAGUUCAAUUCCCAGCAACCACAUAGUGGCUUACAAC